rnacentral:rRNA from 1 species
GAUGAACGCUGGCGGCGUGCCUAAUACAUGCAAGUCGAGCGAACGGACGAGAAGCUUGCUUCUCUGAUGUUAGCGGCGGGCGGGUGAGUAACACGUGGAUAACCUACCUAUAAGACUGGGAUAACUUCGGGAAACCGGAUCUAAUACCGGAUAAUAUUUUGAACCGCAUGGUUCAAAAGUGAAAGACGGUCUUGCUGUCACUUAUAGAUGGAUCCGCGCUGCAUUAGCUAGUUGGUAAGGUAACGGCUUACCAAGGCAACGAUGCAUAGCCGACCUGAGAGGGUGAUCGGCCACACUGGAACUGAGACACGGUCCAGACUCCUACGGGAGGCAGCAGUAGGGAAUCUUCCGCAAUGGGCGAAAGCCUGACGGAGCAACGCCGCGUGAGUGAUGAAGGUCUUCGGAUCGUAAAACUCUGUUAUUAGGGAAGAACAUAUGUGUAAGUAACUGUGCACAUCCUGACGGUACCUAAUCAGAAAGCCACGGCUAACUACGUG